rnacentral:tRNA from 1 species
ACCUGGCUGACUCAGUUGGUAGAGUGUGUGAUUCUUGAUCUCAGGGGUCGUGAGUUCGAGACCCAUGUUGGGGG